rnacentral:rRNA from 1 species
AGAGUUUGAUCCUGGCUCAGGAUGAACGCUAGCUACAGGCUUAACACAUGCAAGUCGAGGGGCAGCGGGGAGGAAGCUUGCUUUCUCCGCCGGCGACCGGCGCACGGGUGAGUAACGCGUAUCGAACCUGCCUCAUACUCGGGAAUAGCCUUGCGAAAGUAAGAUUAAUGCCCGAUGUUUUCAGCGGUCCGCAUGAACUGCUGAACAAAGAUUUAUCGGUAUGAGAUGGCGAUGCGUCCCAUUAGCUUGUUGGCGGGGUAACAGCCCACCAAGGCAUCGAUGGGUAGGGGUUCUGAGAGGAAGGUCCCCCACAUUGGAACUGAGACACGGUCCAAACUCCUACGGGAGGCAGCAGUGAGGAAUAUUGGUCAAUGGACGCAAGUCUGAACCAGCCAAGUAGCGUGCAGGAUGACGGCCCUCCGGGUUGUAAACUGCUUUUAGUUGGGAAUAAAGUGCAGCUCGUGAGCUGUUUUGUAUGUACCAUCAGAAAAAGGACCGGCUAAUUCCGUGCCAGCAGCCGCGGUAAUACGGAAGGUCCGGGCGUUAUCCGGAUUUAUUGGGUUUAAAGGGAGCGCAGGCGGACUCUUAAGUCAGUUGUGAAAUACGGCGGCUCAACCGUCGGACUGCAGUUGAUACUGGGAGUCUUGAGUGCACACAGGGAUGCUGGAAUUCAUGGUGUAGCGGUGAAAUGCUCAGAUAUCAUGAAGAACUCCGAUCGCGAAGGCAGGUAUCCGGGGUGCAACUGACGCUGAGGCUCGAAAGUGCGGGUAUCAAACAGGAUUAGAUACCCUGGUAGUCCGCACAGUAAACGAUGAAUACUCGCGGUUGGCGAUACAAUGUCAGCCGCCAAGCGAAAGCGUUAAGUAUUCCACCUGGGGAGUACGCCGGCAACGGUGAAACUCAAAGGAAUUGACGGGGGCCCG